ACAGCAGUCGCCGCGGUAAUACAGAGGGUGCGAGCGUUAAUCGGAUUUACUGGGCGUAAAGCGUGCGUAGGCGGCUUUUUAAGUCGGAUGUGAAAUCCCUGAGCUUAACUUAGGAAUUGCAUUCGAUACUGGGAAGCUAGAGUAUGGGAGAGGAUGGUAGAAUUCCAGGUGUAGCGGUGAAAUGCGUAGAGAUCUGGAGGAAUACCGAUGGCGAAGGCAGCCAUCUGGCCUAAUACUGACGCUGAGGUACGAAAGCAUGGGGAGCAAACAGGAUUAGAGACCCCCGUAGUCCCUGUCUCUUAUAC
rnacentral:rRNA from 1 species